GGGAGUUUAGCUGAGCGGUAUAAGCGCCUGCCUUGCAAGCAGGUGGUCAUGAGUUUGAUCCCU
rnacentral:tRNA from 1 species